rnacentral:rRNA from 1 species
AUUGAACGCUGGCGGCAGGCCUAACACAUGCCAGUCGAGCGGAUGAAGGGAGCUUGCUCCUGGAUUCAGCGGCGGACGGGUGAGUAAUGCCUAGGAAUCUGCCUGGUAGUGGGGGAUAACGUCCGGAAACGGGCGCUAAUACCGCAUACGUCCUGAGGGAGAAAGUGGGGAUCUUCGGGCCUCACGCUAUCAGAUGAGCCUAGGUCGGAUUAGCUAGUUGGUGGGGUAAAGGCCUACCAAGGCGACGAUCCGUAACUGGUCUGAGAGGAUGAUCAGUCACACUGGAACUGAGACACGGUCCAGACUCCUACGGGAGGCAGCAGUGGGGAAUAUUGGACAAUGGGCGAAAGCCUGAUCCAGCCAUGCCGCGUGUGUGAAGAAGGUCUUCGGAUUGUAAAGCACUUUAAGUUGGGAGGAAGGGCAGUAAGUUAAUACCUUGCUGUUUUGACGUUACCAACAGAAUAAGCACCGGCUAACUUCGUG